rnacentral:rRNA from 1 species
CCUACGGGGUGCUGCAGUGGGGAAUAUUGGACAAUGGGCGAAAGCCUGAUCCAGCCAUGCCGCGUGUGUGAAGAAGGCCUUCGGGUUGUAAAGCACUUUCAGUGGGGAAGAAAGCCUUGGGGCUAAUACCCUCGAGGAAGGACAUCACCCACAGAAGAAGCACCGGCUAACUCCGUGCCAGCAGCCGCGGUAAUACGGAGGGUGCGAGCGUUAAUCGGAAUUACUGGGCGUAAAGCGCGCGUAGGCGGUCUGAUAAGCCGGUUGUGAAAGCCCCGGGCUCAACCUGGGCACGGCAUCCGGAACUGGCAGGCUAGAGUGCAGGAGAGGAAGGUAGAAGUCCCGGUGUAGCGGUGAAAUGCGUAGAGAUCGGGAGGAAUACCAGUGGCGAAGGCGGCCUUCUGGACUGACACUGACGCUGAGGUGCGAAAGCGUGGGUAGCAAACAGGAUUAGAUACCCCGGUAGUC